GUUUGUAGUUUGGAUUUUAAGAAAGCUCAGACAACUUGCCAUGGCAGUUCUGUUGCUCACUAAUGUGCUGGAAUUAAGGUUCCAACUAUAAGAUGGUAUUGAGAAAAUGUGUUACAGAACCAGGAAGAAAGUACAAACAUAUUUGAGGUGCCCUGGCUCCAUGAGGAAGGAUCACACCCUGGCAUUAAAGGAGAAUCACUUUGGGAAAAAGACAGGUUCAUUUGCCAAAUAUAGCCAAUGCCUGCA